CCAAAAACAUCACCUCUAGCAUUACUAGUAUUAGAGGCACUGCCUGCCCAGUGACACGAGUUAAACGGCCGCGGUAUUCUGACCGUGCAAAGGUAGCAUAAUCAUUUGUUCUAUAAAUAAGGACUUGUAUGAAUGGCCACACGAGGGUUCUACUGUCUCUUACUUCCAAUCGGUGAAAUUGACCUUCCCGUGAAGAGGCGGGAAUAUAACAAUAAGACGAGAAGACCCUAUGGAGCUUCAAUUAACUAACCCAAUAGAAUUUAUUCAAUUAACCAAUAUGGGACAAAGUAAUUCUACAGUGGGACAGCAAUUUAGGUUGGGGCGACCUCGGAGUAUAGCACAACCCCCGAGUGAUAUAAAUCUAGACAUACCUGUCAAAACGAACUAUCAUAAAUUGAUCCAAAAAUUUUUGAUCAACGGAACAAGUUACCCUAGGGAUAACAGCGCAAUCCUAUUCAAGAGUUCAUAUCGACAAUAGGGUUUACGACCUCGAUGUUGGAUCAGGACAUCCCAAUGGUGCAGCAGCUAUUAAAGGUUCGUUUGUUCAACGAUUAAAGUCCUACGUGAUCUGAGUUCAGACCGGAGUAAUCCAGGUCGGUUUCUAUCUAUUAACCAGUCUCUCCCAGUACGAAAGGACAAGAGAGACAAGGCCCACUUCGACGAAGCGCCUUAGGACUAAUAUAUGACAUAAUCUUAAUAUAACCAGUUCAACUACACUAUUCAACCCGAGAACAGGGUUU
rnacentral:rRNA from 1 species